GUUUUUAUAGUUUAAAAUUAAAACAUUGGUCUUGUAAAUCAAAAAUAAGUAUAUUACUUUAAAAACU
rnacentral:tRNA from 4 species